rnacentral:lncRNA from 1 species
UGCGGGUAUUUAUGUAUUCCUUCUUCUAUUAUUGUGAUGUCAUUUUCGUCUAUCUUUUUGUUUUGACAAAUUCUUUUAUAUUGACUAUACAAUUCAAACCAUCAUACACAUAUGACCCUGAACCAUGUUUCUUAUGUCUCCUAUAUUUGUUUUAUUGAUAAAUCAAAGGGAUAGAAUCAGAAAAUUGUUAAAUCUAUUAUUUGAUGCGAGUAUUAAA